rnacentral:tRNA from 1 species
GUAAAUAUAGUUUACCAAAAACACUAGACUGUGAUUCUAGAAACAGAAGAUACAAACUUCUUAUUUAC